UUGGGUUGGCCCAAAAGUUCAUUCGAGCUUUUCCUUAAUAUCCUACGGAAACCCGAACGAACUUUUGGGCCAACUCAG
ensembl:miRNA